rnacentral:rRNA from 1 species
UACGGGGGGGGCAAGCGUUGUUCGGAAUUACUGGGCGUAAAGGGCUCGUAGGCGGCCAACUAAGUCAGACGUGAAAUCCCCUCGGCUUAACCGGGGAACUGCGUCUGAUACUGGAUGGCUUGAGUUUGGGAGAGGGAUGCGGAAUUCCAGGUGUAGCGGUGAAAUGCGUAGAUAUCUGGAGGAACACCGGUGGCGAAGGCGGCAUCCUGGACCAACACUGACGCUGACGGUGAGCGAAAAGCCAGGGGAGCAAACGGGG